UACAGAGGGUGCGAGCGUUAAUCGGAAUUACUGGGCGUAAAGCGCGCGUAGGCGGCUUUGCAAGUCGGGGUGUGAAAUCCCCCAGGCUUAACCUGGGAACUGCAUUCGAGACUGCAUUGCUAGAGUAUGGGGAAGAGGGAAGUGGAAUUUCCGGUGUAGCGGUGAAAUGCGUAGAUAUCGGAAGGAACAUCAGUGGCGAAAAGCGA
rnacentral:rRNA from 1 species